rnacentral:rRNA from 1 species
UGGGGAAUAUUGGACAAUGGGCGAAAGCCUGAUCCAGCCAUGCCGCGUGUGUGAAGAAGGUCUUCGGAUUGUAAAGCACUUUAAGUUGGGAGGAAGGGCAGUAAGCGAAUACCUUGCUGUUUUGACGUUACCGACAGAAUAAGCACCGGCUAACUCUGUGCCAGCAGCUGCGGUAAUACAGAGGGUGCAAGCGUUAAUCGGAAUUACUGGGCGUAAAGCGCGCGUAGGUGGUUCGUUAAGUUGAAUGUGAAAGCCCCGGGCUCAACCUGGGAACUGCAUCCAAAACUGGCGAGCUAGAGUAGGGCAGAGGGUGGUGGAAUUUCCUGUGUAGCGGUGAAAUGCGCAGAUAUAGGAAGGAACACCAGUGGCGAAGGCGACCACCUGGGCUCAUACUGACACUGAGGUGCGAAAGCGUGGGGAGCAAACAGG